rnacentral:rRNA from 1 species
UCAGGAAUAUUUGUCAAUGGACGAAUGUCUGAACCAGCCAUGCCGCGUGGAGGAUGAAGGUCCUCUGGAUUGUAAACUUCUUUUAUAUGGGACGAAAAAAGGGUUUUCUAUCUCGUCUGACGGUACCAUAUGAAUAAGCACCGGCUAACUCCGUGCCAGCAGCCGCGGUAAUACGGAGGGUGCAAGCGUUAUCCGGAUUCACUGGGUUUAAAGGGAGCGUAGGUGGGUUUAUAAGUCAGUGGUGAAAUCUCCGAGCUUAACUCGGAAACUGCCAUUGAUACUAUCUGUCUUGAAUGUUGUGGAGGUGAGCGGAAUAUGUCAUGUAGCGGUGAAAUGCUUAGAUAUGACAUAGAACACCAAUUGAGAAGGCAGCUCGCUACACAUAUAUUGACACUGAGGCUCGAAAGCGUGGGGAUCAAACAGGAUUAGAUACCCUGGUAGUCCACGCCCUAAACUAUGAUUACUCGACGUACGCGAUACACAGUCGGUGUCUGAGCGAAAGCAUUAAGU